rnacentral:rRNA from 1 species
UACGGAGGGGGCUAGCGUUGUUCGGAAUUACUGGGCGUAAAGCGCACGUAGGCGGCUUUGUAAGUCAGAGGUGAAAGCCCGGGGCUCAACUCCGGAAUUGCCUUUGAGACUGCAUCGCUUGAAUCCAGGAGAGGUGAGUGGAAUUCCGAGUGUAGAGGUGAAAUUCGUAGAUAUUCGGAAGAACACCAGUGGCGAAGGCGGCCUUCUGGACAGUGACUGACGCUGAGACGCGAAAGCGUGGGGAGCAAACAGG